GAGGGUAUAGCUCAGUAGUAGAGCGCGCGCUUAAAAUGAGAGAGAUCCUGGGUUCAAUCCCCAGUACCUCCA
rnacentral:tRNA from 1 species